rnacentral:rRNA from 1 species
UUGAACGCUGGCGGCAUGCCUUACACAUGCAAGUCGAACGGUAGAGGGGCAACCCUUGAGAGUGGCGGACGGGUGAGUAAUGCAUCGGAACGUGCCCAGUCGUGGGGGAUAACGCAGCGAAAGCUGUGCUAAUACCGCAUGUGAUCUGUGGAUGAAAGCAGGGGACCGCAAAGGCCUUGUGCGAUUGGAGCGGCCGAUGUCAGAUUAGCUAGUUGGUAGGGUAAAA